UACGUAGGGUGCAAGCGUUGUCCGGAAUUAUUGGGCGUAAAGAGCUCGUAGGCGGUCUGUUGCGUCGGCUGUGAAAACCCGGGGCUCAACUCCGGGCCUGCAGCCGAUACGGGCAGACUAGAGUUCGGCAGGGGAGACUGGAAUUCCUGGUGUAGCGGUGAAAUGCGCAGAUAUCAGGAGGAACACCGGUGGCGAAGGCGGUUCUCUGGGCCUUACCUGACGCUGAGGAGCGAAAGCAUGGGGAGCAAACAGG
rnacentral:rRNA from 1 species